CAUUGGCUAUUCUAAUUCAGAGUCUAAGACAGGAAAAAAGGGGACCACACGGAGUUAAAAGAGAGGAGAGGAUAAGGAAAGGAGCAUUCGGGAGAUUGAAAUUUUGGAGUCAGAGAGCUAGCUUCAAGCUCCUUCGAAAGGUGUAGAAUUAGAUUUGAUAGGAUUUGGGAGGACUUUGCAAUCGUUGCUGAAAGUCAGUGUUUGUAUUGGUGAAUUGGGUUCAUAGGAUUUGGAAGGAAUUUGCAAUCGUUGCUCAAAGUCAGUAUUUGUAUUGGUGAAU
rnacentral:lncRNA from 1 species